rnacentral:misc_RNA from 1 species
UUUCCGUAGGUGAACCUGCGGAAGGAUCAUUCAUAAUAAAGUGUUUUAUGGCACUUUUUAAAAAUCCAUAUCCACCUUGUGUGCAAUGUUAGAUCUCGUCAAUCUUGGCGAGAUUUUUAUACAUCAACUCAUUCUUUAACUAAUUUGUCUGAAAAACAUUAUGAAUACUUAAUUCAAAAUACAACUUUCAACAACGGAUCUCUUGGCUCUC